rnacentral:rRNA from 1 species
GCAAGCAGUUGUAUCACUCUGCAACUCACUGAAGCUAAGCAGGUGUGAGCCUGGUCAGUACCAGGAUGGGAGUCCACCUGGGAAAAACUAAGGUUGCUGCUGAAA